UACGUAGGGGGCAAGCGUUGUCCGGAAUCAUUGGGCGUAAAGAGCGUGUAGGCGGCCCGGUAAGUAGGGGGUGAAAUCCUGCGGCUUAACCGCAGGGCUGCCUUCUAAACUGUCGGGCUCGAGCACGGUAGAGGCAGAUGGAAUUCCCGGUGUAGCGGUGGAAUGCGUAGAGAUCGGGAAGAACAUCAGUGGCGAAGGCGGUCUGCUGGGCCGUUGCUGACGCUGAGGCGCGACAGCGUGGGGAGCAAACAGG
rnacentral:rRNA from 1 species